rnacentral:rRNA from 1 species
UACAGAGGGUGCAAGCGUUAUUCGGAAUCACUGGGCGUAAAGUGCGCGUAGGUGGCUUUGUAAGUUUGGUGUGAAAGCCCUCGACUCAAUCGAGGAAGUGCGCCGAAUACUGCUAAGCUAGAGCAUGGGAGAGGAGGACGGAAUUCUUGGUGUAGAGGUGAAAUUCGUAGAUAUCAAGAGGAACAACAGAGGCGAAGGCGGUUCUCUGGACCAUUGCUGACACUGAGGCGCGAAAGCGUGGGGAGCAAAC